GCCUACGGCCACGCCAACCCGAACGUGCCCGAUCCCGUCUGAUCUUGGAAGCUAAGCAGAGAUGAGCCUGGUUAGUACUUGGAUGGGAGACCACCUAGGAAGACCAGGUGCUGUAAGCG
rnacentral:rRNA from 1 species